AUUGAUUAGGAGAACAAAGAUUCUUGAUCUUGAAGAAGUAGCCCUGUAGGUCAGAUUGCUUCCCUAUCUCUUAAGGGCAGCCUUGUCUCUUGAUCCUAAUGCUGACCAUUGAUCCGGUAUGGUAGAACACGCAUUAGAGUAUUUCAAGAUUAUGACAGAAGAUUAUGGUCUUGUCCCUGAUUAGUUAUCCAUACAUCUACAUGAUCCAAGGAAAGAUGCUGUUUUAGGCAAAAGGAGCCUGUAUCGGUGAUGUGUAUCUUGCAUGUGAAGUUGCUUUUCAUGAUAGAAGGAUACCAAUCCCAGUUUUUGAUCUCUAUGGU